AGUUAAGCAUCAGUGACUAAUAAAGAGCUCAGAGACGAACCGGCACCAUCAGAACCUGGGAAAGUGAGCAGAUGAAGCAACGUAACGUGAUGUAACAUUUACAGCUCUAGACAAGUUUUGCGUUGCUGGAUUGAGGUUGCAGACCUCUGAUCUGAGCUGACAGCUCAGCAAGUAGAGAGCUGGAGAAGAAUCAAGUGGAGGAGCUGCAGAAAUCCACAACUCAGGAGGCGAACAUGUUAUGAUGCAAUCGGUGAAGACACAGGAUUUCAAAACAGCUGCAGCAGGGAGAGCAAAGCAAGCACGAAUAUCCAGAGCAGAAAAGACCAAAACGAAAGAAGUUCAGGUAAAUUUGCAGUAGACUAAACUGUGAGCCUGAAUCGAGUCUGCCAGAGAAAAACAGAACAUCUGAACAACAUCUGGAGAAACUGUGGCCGAAGGAAGUCAGAGAAGAACGAAGAACAGCGACAUCAGUUUGUAUCAAAUGCAGAAAAAAAUGCCUCAUUAGACCAAAUCACUGAGAUCUCAUCCAUGUUUGUCAGGACUUUCCUUAUCAACACAAACCUAAAAAUAUGAAUGACCCGAAGGUUUAAAGGCCCAAAGACUAAUCACAAAUAAGAAAAGCAUCUUGUGAUGAUUUUCAGACUUUUCAAAGCACAAUGACUAUUUUUUUCUUUAUUUUAUCACAUUCCAGCAGGAUUUUAUACAUUUGAAGAACUACGACAAAAAAAAACUCCAUAAUUUCUACGAUUUUUAGAGCAAUGUGUCUACAAGGAAAAAAGCUGAGUUAUUUAAUUUUAACAUGUUCUGUUAAAAAAUAAUGCAACACAAUCUAUUUUUGUUAUAAUUUAUGGACCUCAAAAAAUAGCCUUUUAAAACUUUACCCUAAGCAUUUUAACACGCACUUCAAAAACCCAUUUUUAUUGCUAUUUCGAUUGAAUAAAUCAAACAUGUUGUAUUUCUAAAUGGGAUUAAAGUUAAUUCAAAGAUUGAAGCUCUGAGAGAAGAAAUGUAACUGUUAGCCUUUUUUUUAGUACUUUUUUCGAGCACCACUUCCCCUCCACUUUUGACCUAAUUGUUAUAAAAUCCGAAUACAUUUUCUGAUGUAGCUGAAAAUAACUGUACUUUAAAUACACCCUGUCAGAUUGAA